rfam:Oryza sativa Japonica Group DNA, chromosome 11, cultivar: Nipponbare, complete sequence.
GGAUGCGAUCAUACCAGCACUAAAGCACCGGAUCCCAUCAGAACUCCGAAGUUAAGCGUGCUUGGGCGAGAGUAGUACUAGGAUGGGUGACCUCCUGGGAAGUCCUCGUGUUACAUCCC